rnacentral:lncRNA from 1 species
AUAGUACAGAUUCCAUUCAAGAGUAGGACCAUUACUAUGUUCAUCAAAAUAAUCUUGAAACAAAUUCUCUUGUGGUUAGCCGCUUUUGACCAUCCACGUUCAUGGGAGUGACAAGGUCUCCAUUAACAGUCACUAGCUGCAUGAUAUAUAUAGGUAAAAGGGUCCCAAUAUUAGGCACCAUAGGCCACCAUUACAUGCAAAAGUCUUAAUAAAAUUUAUCUGUAGUCCAAUCGCAAGCUGGACCGAAUAUCUCUCGUUAAAAGAUGCUAAACAUCUUCCAAAGGUGACAAAGAAGAUUCCUCGUUGGCCAUCUUCAUGAUACCUACUCUGACUCACAUGUAUCUGAGAAGUUAAAUCAGUUUGUUUGGCUAUUCGCUAUCUGCAAGAACGCAUUACAGUCAAUUUGGCUGGGACUUUGACAUUCUCAUUGGCAUCUCAGACUGCAGGAAUACAGAUAUUAUUCUUUCAGCAAACACAAGCAGUUUAUAACUAAGCAGUCACAAAUAUAGUUACACAUAAGAUAAAGCUAGC